rnacentral:RNase_P_RNA from 1 species
CUUCGGGGCCUGGCGGUCGCUCCGUGUUCUUUGAUCCCAAGGUGCGGGUAACGCCGCGCCCGUUUUAUACAUGGAGAGGAAAGUCCGGACACCAUAGGGCAGGAUGCUGUGCCAGCUUCACGGCGAGCACAGGAGGCGCGUUUCAAGGCGCGUCGACGGAAAGUGUCACAGAGAAUAUACCGCCGCGCGGGCAACUGCGCGGUAAGGGUGAAAAGGUGGGGUAAGAGCCCACCGCGCCGACGGCGACGUCGGCGGCACGACAAACCCCUUCCGGUGCAAGGCAAAAUAGGUGACUGGGCGGCCCGUCCUUUAGUCACGGGUAUGCUGCAUCAUCCGACGUAAGUGCGCGCAAGCGCAGGAGCGAAGGAGGACUGGUUCGCCGCAAGGCGAACCCGAGAGAAAUGAUCGCCGAAGCGCCGCAAGGCGCAGAACAGAAUCCGGCUUACCGGCCCUGAAGCUAA